CUUUUUACGUGCAGAGAGUUGGGGUUGUCUUCUCCCACAGAAAGUGGAUCACACAUUGGUUCUCUAAAAAACUCUCUGCCAAAAGAAUAUAGGGAAGAAAGGUUCUUCUCUUCCCUCUCUCAAUCCUCUCUUUCCCUCUACCAAAUCUAAGGCAAAAUCCACACUUUUUGCAAAUUCUCAAACCCUAAGGAGAAUACGGGAGGCUUUACUUUGGUGGUAUCCCAAUUGGGAUUUGCAUUUGGGAGAUCCGUUCACGACUUUGUUCGUAGGAUUACGUGAAGAAAAUGGUUCUUCAAAGGAUUAUGUCUAAUUGGACACCAGUCGGCAAGGCUUCAGGUUUUUUUGGUUCCAAAAUAGAUUCGGAAUCGUUCGAACAACAAAAGCCCAAGCCUCUUUUGAUGAGUUUUAGGCUUGAUUCGAAGUUUUCUGAUUGGGGUUCAAGGUCGUUGUAGGAGUGUCUUAAUGAAGUGUAUGGUGAUGAUGGACAAGGGUCUUGAAUUUGAUCAAGUUGAUAGAGAAAGAAAUUGGUCAGUAUUUCCAUUCCUUUCCCAACAUUCAUAUGUUGCAAUUCACGAAUUGUUCAACAAUCUUUUGAAAAAUAAGAAUUAGCUAGUAGUUUACUUGUUUUGAUUUUUUUUGGAAUUUCCCCCUUUAAUUUUUUGAUGGGGACUAUCAAAUUUUGUUGAAUGGAGUCUUGUUUUACUUAGUAGCGAAUUUAAUUACGAAAGUUUGAAAUGUACCUGUAUGGAGGACAGAUGGAGUGAUUAUUAUAUUUCUACUACACGCAGGUCCAGUGGAAUUUCUUUAUUAUUGACUUCAGUGAACUCUCCACCAUUAUUAUCUCCAUUAUCACUACCAUUCUAAGAAAAAUAAAUACUAUUUCGAAAACAUUCAGAGAAUUGUUUUUUCUUGACAUUUGCUAUUUCCUUGUUUCUUUUUAUUGUGCUUACAGUGGCAGCUUAGGUACCAUUCCUAACUUAUAAUUUAACAAAAUGGUUCUUUAGCCAAGAAACAGUUUAAUGAGAACGAGAGUAUAUUUUGGUAAUGCAUAUGACAUGCCUUUUUUUUGCCAGAGAUUUAUGUAUGAUGUUUAAUGAGAACCAAGCAAAUGAGAUUUAUGUAUGUCGUUAUUAUGGUGUUAACCAUUACAAGGUGGAUGGUUUCCUAGAUAUUGAACUCAAAGUUUGUGAUUAUAAUUGGCUCACUUCAUUGUUUGUGAACAAUGAUGUUCUUGCAAGGUGCCUACAUGGUAAAAUCAAACUUCUAUAUUCUUCUAAUGAGAAGUUUGUAUAAAAGUGUCGAGGCUUCACCAUGUCAAAUCCAGAAUUUCUAUUUGAAGCUAAUAAGCACUUCAUCUCAUUGUAGUUCAUAACCAUUGUGAUUAUUUA